rnacentral:rRNA from 1 species
UAGCUCAGGAUGUGAAUCUGCGCUUUUAAGGCGCCGAAUUGUGGUCUGUAGACUUUGAUGUUAUCUGCCGGGCCAAGUUCCUUGGAAAAGGACAGCUGAGAGGGUGAGACUCCCGUCCGCCUGGUAGAAUGAAUCAUGUGUCAACGAGUCGAGUUGUUUGGGAUUGCAGCUCUAAUUUGGUGGUAAAUUCCAUCUAAAGCUAAAUAUUGGUGGGAGACCGAUAGCGUACAAGUACCGUGAGGGAAAGAUGCAAAGAACUUUGAAAAGAGAGUUAAAGAGUACCUGAAAUUGCUGAAACGGAAGCGAAGGAAACCAGUGUUUGUUGGUUCAUAUUUCCCUGACCACUUGUGGUUUGGGCGCUGUGAGCCUGCGUGGGUUUGUUUUGAUUGAUCCCUUUGGAAGAGCGCAUACAGAGUUGAUGUCUGUUGCUAGCACUGGGUUUGAUUGAUGCUUACCAAAUGGUUUUCUUUACCCCGUCUUGAAACACGGACCAAGGAGUCUAACAUAUGUGCGAGUACAGGGGUGUCAAACCCCGGUGCGUAAUGAAAGUGACAGUGGUUGGAUAUUUUGCACAAUCCGCCGGCCUCAAUCCUUCGGGAGAACGGUCUGAGUGUGAGCAUACAUGUUGGGACCCGAAAGAUGGUGAACUAUGCCUGAAUAGG